rnacentral:rRNA from 1 species
UACAGAGGGUGCAAGCGUUGUUCGGAAUUAUUGGGCGUAAAGCGCGUGUAGGCGGCUUUGCAAGUCGGGUGUGAAAGCCCUCAGCUCAACCGAGGAAGUGCGCCCGAAACUGCAGAGCUUGAGUACCGGAGAGGAUGGCGGAAUUCCCCAAGUAGAGGUGAAAUUCGUAGAUAUGGGGAGGAACACCGGUGGCGAAGGCGGCCAUCUGGACGGAUACUGACGCUGAGACGCGAAAGCGUGGGUAGCAAACAGG